rnacentral:lncRNA from 1 species
UGGCUUCUCCCCACUUCCGUAACAAUCUCCACUCCGAAAGCAACAGGACUUCCUCCGGUAACUCAAAUCUAUAAUGAAGGUUUUUUUUCCAAAUUUGCAAUCUGCAUGUAAGGCAAGAAACCAAAUCCCAUCCAAAUCCAAAUCCAGACUGCUCGUCGGAGUCGUCGGAAUCGUCCUCGUCGGCGGGAGUCGGAGUGGUCGGCGGCGGUGGCCGAGGUGGAGGGCUUGGACAGGGACGAGAAGGAAAGAAGAAAUCAGCCAAAGAUCCUAAUCAAGUCAAAAAAAAAAGAGCUCUAAAUCGAAUCCAUAUUUCAGACCUAGCAACAAACUAAACCAAAACCAUAUAUAUUACAAAGUCCAUCCCCAAACCCGAGCGGGGAAUCCAUCCCCGAUGGGAUCCCCAUCCCUGCGAUAUAAGUUAAGAAAAAAUUUACUCAGAUCAUCAAUCUAGAAAAGGAAAUAUUUAUCACAAACGCAUCUUGCACCAACAUGAAAUAGAAUCGUUUAGUUUUAGAAAUCACCAUAAACAAAUCUAUAUCUAUACCUAUCUAUAAAUAAGGAAAAUUUCAAUCUACCAAUAUCUUUCUUCCGUUGCCCGGAAACCUCCGUCCGUGCCCUGUCCGGGUUCCGUUGCGGAAACCUACGUCCGUUUAACGCAGAUAAGAGAGAAAAGGAAAAUAAAAUGUUUCUAGAGUUCCCAAUGCAAAAUCUUCUAUUACUGUCGCCUGAAGGAUCGCUACGUCCCGAAAGAAUGGCUAGCCUCUAUAUCCUAUUAGUUUAAUUCGAUUGAAAAUUAAUAAAUAUAUAAUAAUUCAUAGAAAAAUCUAAAAAUUACAAAACAAAUUUUGUUCAGCUCCACAUAUAUAGAUCCAUGUAGUAAACAAAAAAUAGAUGCAAAAUGUCUGUCCUAUUAAUUUGUUUUUCUUUUAUUCUUUAAUUCAGUUGAAAAUUGGUAAAUGCGUAAAAAUUCAUAGAAAAAUCUAAAAAUUACAAAACAAAUUUUGUUCAGCUCCUCAUAUGUAGAUCCAUAUAGUAAACAAAAAAUAUCACAAAUUUUAGUAUAUUUUUUUGUUGGAGAUGCUUACCUAUGCUUUUUAAUCUAAAAAUUACAAAACAAAUUUUGUUCAGCUCCACAUAUGUAGAUCCAUGUAGUAAACAAAAAAUAGAUGCAAAAUGUCUGUCCUAUUAAUUUGUUUUUCUUUUAUUCUUUAAUUCAGUUGAAAAUUGGUAAAUACGUAAAAAUUCAUAGAAAAAUUCUAAAAAUUACAAAACAAAUUUUGUUCAGCUCCUCAUAUGUAGAUACAUAUAGUAAACAAAACAUAUCACAAAUUUUAGUAUAUUUUUUUGUUGGAGAUGCUUACCUAUGCUUUUUAAUCUAAAAAUUACAAAACAAAUUUUGUUCAGCUCCACAUGUAGAUCCAUGUAGUAAACAAAAAAUAGAUGCAAAAUGUCUGUCCUAUUAAUUUGUUUUUCUUUCAUUCUUUAAUUCAGUUGAAAAUUGGUAAAUGCGUAAAAAUUCAUAGAAAAAUUCUAAAAAUUACAAAACAAAUUUUGUUCAGCUCCUCAUAUGUAGAUCCAUGUAGUAAACAAAAAAUAUCACAAAUUUUAGUAUAUUUUUUUGUUGGAGAUGCUUACCUAUGCUUUUUAGUGUAAAAUUGAAAUUGUAGUUAUCUUGCUCCAAUUAUUAUAAAAAUUUUAUGGUAUCCUAUUUAAUGUGAUGCUUGAUUUGUGGUAAAAGUUUUAGCACCAUUUCUGCAUAUCUCACUGAUUUACUAAUUUACCUAAAUUUAUGCUUGCUAAAUAGUUUACAAUCAAUUUAAGUAUGUAAAAAUAUAAAAAAGAUGUUUCCACUACCUUUGCACGAUGUGUUGUUACGUCAUAUAAACACUUCAUAAGCCUAUGUGUUCAUAAUAUACAUACAUUUAACUGAUAUAUCAUAUUUUAUAGGAAUCAUAAUCUAAAUAAAAAACUAAAGCUAGCAACAAACUUCUCAUGUUUUAAUAUAAUACUAAAGUAUAUUAACAGAUAAUACUAGCGUAAGAUAAGAUUUGCCUAAUUUCUAUUUUUAUUCUUAAAUAAAUACGUCUCCAAGCUAUAUAUUAUUGUAAAUACUCCCUCCGGUCCAUUUUAUCUGGCGCACACGUAUAUCAAGAUUCAAACUUUUAAAACUUUGACCAUUAAUUAGACUAAUAAUUAUUAACUAUUAUAACACAAAUUUUAUAUAAUUAGAUUUGUAAAGAAUUAUACUAUCCAAUGAUUAUAAGUUUAUAAGCAUAAAUAAUAUAAUAUAAAGUAAAUGAAUGGUCAAAAUGUAAUCUAGGAGAUCGUGUCAUUCUAACCUGCGCCAGAUAAAAUGGACCGGAGGGAGUAUUAACUAUCUAAUACCAUAGAUAUCAUGGUUAUCAAUAAAAUAAAUUAUGGAAUUUAAAUUUUAUAAAAAAGAUAAAUAUAAAUAGAUAUGUAACAUUAUGUCAUCACUUUUUAUGGCUAUUUGAUGUUUUUCUCCCGUUGCAACGCACGGGCAUAUUUGCUAGUCAAAAAUAAAAUCUCACAAAUACAAGUGCUUGUGUUAGGAUGAGACAAUAGAUGCAAAAAAAAAGGCAAGAUACGCCUCUGUUGUCCACUGGCAGGCUGAGAAAAAGGAGACGAAGUCAAGCAACACGGCAAUUUCUAUCUUUGGCCUUGUUUAGUUCACCCAAAAACCAAAAAGUUUUUAAGAUUUCCUGUCACAUCGAAUCUUGCGGCAUAUGCAUGAAGCAUUAAAUAUAGACGAAAGCAAAAACUAAUUACAUAGUUUAGCUGGAAAUCGCGAAACGAAUCUUUUGAUCCGUCCAUAAUUGGAUAAUAUUUGUCACAAACAAACGAAAGUGCUACAGUACCGAAAUCCGAAAUCUUUUGGGAACUAAACAAGGCAUUUCUUCACAUCGAGGUAAUCAGGCAGCAGCGCAUGGGUGGUGCCACGGUGGUCACUAGUAACUAGCGAUGCUUGGCUGUGGGGGGUGUUCCGGUAUGCUGCAAGAAAGGGAGGGCGGAGAAGCUUCGGGUGAGGA